rnacentral:rRNA from 1 species
UACGAAGGGGGCUAGCGUUGCUCGGAAUUACUGGGCGUAAAGCGCACGUAGGCGGUCUUUUAAGUCGGGGGUGAAAUCCUGGAGCUCAACUCCAGAACUGCCUUCGAUACUGGAAGACUCGAGUCCGGGAGAGGGUGAGUGGAACUGCGAGUGUAGAGGUGAAAUUCGUAGAUAUUCGCAAGAACACCAGUGGCGAAGGCGGCUCACUGGCCCGGUACUGACGCUGAGGUGCGAAAGCGUGGGGAGCAAACAGGG